GGGCAGUCUGCUAAUUGUAUCAGCAACAUAUACUGCACCAUGGACCACCGGGUCAAGAACUCCAGCUUGGAAAAGUACCUUUACCAUGCUCUAUGCAAUGGCAGCUACCCAAAUGCUAAGAAUAACAGAUUAGCUAUCCCAGUCUCAAAAUUUAUAGAUUGGGUGGAUCGUGUGCGGGUACAUCAACAAGAAGUUCAGGAAUAAUUACAGGGUGACGAUCCUAGAUCCCCCUACCUUGGACUCGAGCAAGGAGCAGAUGCUCCUCCAACCUCGCACCGCCGACCUCACCGUCCCAAGCAGGGGUGGCGUGCCUCGUCCUCGUCUUCCACUCAGCACAGAUAGAGAUGGCGACGGCGGCGGCUGGAUCUGGCUAAGUGGCCAGUGAGGAUGAUGGCUUCAGCCCCCAGUCAAAGUCAACCGGCUACUUCCAUUGGGUGUCGCCAUGUUCUUCCUCACGCUUCGCCGACCGGCGGCGAGAAAGAGGACAUCAUGAGGCUCGAGGAGGUUGCCAUCACCACCGGCGAAGAGGACGAGGACCUCCUACUCGAUAUGACAACUCAGCCGUGAACUUUAAAAGAGCAAACAAGGUUCUGGUAUUGGAGUCUGGGCUGGUGGGAAAGUGAUUCAAGAAAUUUAUAUAGUGUUACCUGAAUGCACAAGAGUUGCUGCCGGGACUCCAUUAGUACAGAUUCUUCUGUCCUAAAUCACAUGGAAGGUUGCGAUCACUGUACGGGCACCUAAAUUACUCCUUCUGCUUGACUAUAGGAGAUUUAUACGCGUUGCUCAAGUAUGUCAUGAGGUAAUUUACUAUCUUCAAUGGUUCCCAAUUACUAUGAAUGGUAAUUUUUUGAAUGUAUGUUGUUGUGCUCUCAUAACUGGGAUCAUCCAUCUGAUGCUCAUGUUGAUCUCGUAGUGUAGUCUAGGUUUAUGUAUUUGGUAAAUAUUAUUUUCCCAUGAAUUUUCUGUACUAGAUAAGAAAGGUUAGUUUGCAAUACGAGGCCAUUUGCUAUUUUAAGGGGAUCUCUGUACUGGAUAAGCAAAUUAUGUAUGUACCAUUUUUGUAUAGCCAUUUCUUCCUUUUGACUAUUGUGUUUAGACUUUGGACUUCCAAAUUAGAUCUAUGGUCUACAACAUUAAGUUCAGAAGCAAGUUCUGUACUGUCAUUUUUUCUAUAGAUCUCUCUUGUCUCGUAUAUUGGAGUGGGCAACUUUGCAAUCACUCAUGGAUAAAUGAAGCUGUCAAGCACUUGUGCUUUUGCUUUUGUGAAUCCAUUUACUUCUUCGUAACAACACACUUCUACAGUGUUUUGUGACAUAAACAUUUAGACAACUAGACGUGAUGUGUUGUGAACUCGUGACUGCUAGCCCUUUUUUGAUUAUUUUUUGUUUUCCAUUUUGGGUACAUAAAAAGUCAAUAGUUUUUAGCACAAGGUUUAUUUUAUUUUAUUUUAUUUACCAGGUUAGCAAAGAAGGGGAGCCUUGGCGCAGUGGUAAAGCUGCUGCCUUGUGACCAUGAGGUCACGGGUUCAAGUCCUGGAAACAGCCUCUUACAGAAAUGUAGGGAAAGGCUGCGUACAAUAGACCCAAAGUGGUCGGACCCUUCCCCAGACCCUGCGCAAGCGGGAGCUACAUGCACUGGGGCUUCCCCCUUUUUUUAUUUACUAGGUUAGCAAAGGACUUGAGUAUGCAUGAAAGUAUAUGCACCAUGAUUUAUUCAGAUGUUUGACACUCGACAGUAUCCGAGAUGCCGCAGCAAGGUCUGGUGUAGUGUUUUAUAAUGUUGUUAUUUCUUCAGUUUGCAAAAAAUGGGAAACUGAUCGUGCCAUUGAUUUAUUUUUCCCACAUGGUGUUGAUUAUUUCAUAAUUCAUCAUUUUUAUUAACAUAUUCAUGUGAAGUGUAAUCUUGAAUGUUGGAGACUAUACCAUCUGAAAUGUCCUUUAUUAAUAACUGUUGGAGCGUAUAUCCUUUGUUAGAGUGAGUACGAAAAACUGAACCAAAGAGGGAAUGUAAUGUUGUCAGCGAGGAUGGGAUUCUUAUGCCUCAGGUUUCCCUUUGUAUCAUUGAGACUUGAGAGUAGAUUGUAGGGUAAUACAUUCUACAUGCAUGUGUGUUGCAGUUGUAGCAAGUUAGACAAGGUACCCCGCUAAUGCCGAGAGUAUGGAGCCGACGAAGGCUAUCAACAAGAAGCUUCAGCGUGUGUGCACGUAGAUGAAUUUCUCGUUUUUGGAAUAGCCAUAUUGAAUAAGUAGUCUAAUUGACUUCCUUGUUGUUUGUUUAUUGAUAUGCAGAGGAGAAUGGUCUAACCUAUAGCCCAGAUCAGGUUCUAGCGUCCAAUGGAGCUAAGUAGUGCAUUACACAAGCUAUGCUUGAUCUUUUCUCACAUGGUGAUGUGGCAAAGUUAUCAUCCUUGUACAUUGAUUUUUAGGACAAAUACUUUUCAUACUAGCUUAGACAAUACCAUGAAAAUAGCAGCACCAAGUGGUUAUCAUGUACUCCUUUUGUUGUCCCCAGUUCUUUAAAGUUAGCAGAUUGCUUCUAAAUGUAUUGUAGCACAUUUGGUUGUGAUGAUGCAGGUCUACAAACAGUUCUGAACAUAAGCACUAGAAAAUAUUUUUGUUGCGAUGACCAUAUAAGCAAAUAAUGUGUAUCUCCAUUGCUCAUGUUUGAUAUUCAUUCCUAAUAAUAUGCUUGUGUUAUUGCUUGGUACAUAUUGCAGUUUUAGUUAUUUGUUUAAUAUUUUUGAAUCAUUGACCCGCCUUUCUCAUCAUUCUACCUAGAGUAUGGUGAUGUACAAAGCUCUUGAUAUAUGUAGUGUGGUUGAUUAAGAAAUGCACCAAAAAGUGAGUGCAACUUAUAUUAAGUUAUACUCACGAGUCUUGAUGUUGAUUGAAUUGAAACUUUAAAAUGAUUAUAAUUGAUAUUUGAAAGUGUUACCCAAGGGUAGUUGCAUUCUGAUGCUUUACAUCCUCUGGAUGUCUUUUUCCUGAAUUUAUGGUACCUACACAAACAUAUCCUUUUAUCUAGCAUUACACUGCCCUUUACUUCUCAUUCACUUUCUGUAUGAUGCACUGCUUUCGGGUUAUGGAGACAUAUCCCAAGGAAUGCAUCCAUCCACAUGAUGUCGCAUUACCAAUCAAACUUGCGGAUGGUGAUGUCUCCCUCAUUUCCCGCCUCAUUGAAAGAACUGCCAAGAAGGCCAUCAUCACAACAAAUUGGCCAGAGCUUCGUUGUGACACCAACAUCAAAGAAGGUGACAUUUGCCUUCUACUUCAGAAACCAGGCAAGGCAUUCCAUGUAGGUUCCUACCGGUCUCUCUUAGACCUGUUACAUAUGCUUCAUCGAGCGACUGUGGCUCUACUUUUGGACGCCGUUGCCUGAGUUUUGAACCAUCUUACUGUAUCUAUAAAGGAUCGUAUUGUGAACCAUUCAUCAUAUUUGCAAUUAAUAUAAGAUAUCUAUA